rnacentral:lncRNA from 1 species
GAUCCGUGCCAGCAGCUCUCAUCUCUCGCGAUGCUCUCAGCCCACGGCGUGCAGUCGCUAGUCUCUGACGUGAGAUCUCGUUACCGAUCAUCUCAUAUGCCAGUCUGACCGAAGAGCAACCAGUGCAGCAGUGCAGAUGAAUAUUCUGAAAAUCAACAAACAAUAAACGAGAGAAGGUUCUGGUCCUUGGCGUCCUGGAGGCUUGAAAACAUCAGAUUUCGACAGGGGAGAGCGGAGGUGGACUGACUAAGUUGUCCUUGAGAGACUCUGCCUGAAAAGCAUCAAUGCCUGCCGACUUAGGUAUUUCCACGAUGGUUAUAUUUGCACGCACAGACUGGUAAAGUCCGGGCAAAUUGGAGCUACACCAUAACUUAUUUAUUUUCUUCCCUGUUCAAUUACGAACACAUCUAAGAUGGAGACGUUAAUCUCUCAGCUUCUCCAGCUACAUGCCUCCUGCUUGUGGGGGAAAAGGAAAGAAUGAACGGGGAGAGAAGAAUACUCAGUAAUUACAAAUAUUAAGGGAAUCUACAUUUUCUUUUUUGGCAAAUGGGAUGGGGACAGCAGCAAGGUCUUGCUACUGUGUUCUGCGCCACCUUUAAAGGUCAUCCAAGACGUCACGAUAUGGAAGUCACAGCAAAUAUUUAAUCUGAAAAUAACUUUGAAAUAAGGGUAACGUCAAAGAUGACAUCUGCAAUCAGAGGAAGGAUCUGUAAGUU